AUGCGAUGUAAAAGGAGAGAUGGUCAGCACUCCCCUUGAUAAGCAGGAAAGAAGAGCAAGAAGACAGAAAGAAAGUGAGAAAGGGGGGCGAAUUUCUCUUCGCGCGGAGUCGGGAAUUUUUU